rnacentral:rRNA from 1 species
CCUUAGUGCUGCAGCUAACGCAUUAAGCACUCCGCCUGGGGAGUACGACCGCCAGGUUGAAACUCAAAGGAAUUGACGGGGGCCCGCCCAAGCGGUGGAGCAUGUGGUUUAAUUCGUAGCAACGCGAAGAACCUUACCAGGUCUUGACAUUCUUUGACCAUUCUGGAGACAGAGCUUCCCCCCCGGGGACAAAGUGACAGGCGGUGCAUGGUUGUCGUCAGCUCUGGCCGUGAGAUGUUGGGUUAAGUCCCGCAAUGAGCGGAACCCUGGAUUUUAGUUGCCAGCAUUUAGUUGGGCACUCUAAAGUGACUGCCGGUGCAAGCCGGAGGAAGGUGGGGAUGACGUCAAAUCAUCAUGCCCCUUAUGACCUGGGCUACACACGUGCUACAAUGGAUAGUACAAAGGGUCGCGAAGCCGCGAGGUGGAGCUAAUCCCAUAAAACUAUUCUCAGUUCGGAUUGUAGGCUGCAACUCGCCUACAUGAAGCCGGAAUCGCUAGUAAUCGUGGAUCAGCAUGCCAUGGUGAAUACGUUCCCGGGCCUUGUACACACCGCCCGUCACACCACGAGAGUUUGUAACACCCGAAGUCGGUAGGGUAACCUUUAUGGAGCCAGCCGCCGAAGGUGGGACAGAUAAUUGGGGUGAAGUCGUAACAAGGUAGCCGUAUCGGAAGGUGCGGCUGG